GAUAUUGGGCGUAAGGGCUCGCAGGCGGUUUCUUAAGUCUGAUGUGAAAGCCCCCGGCUCAACCGGGGAGGGUCAUUGGAAACUGGGAAACUUGAGUGCAGAAGAGGAGAGUGGAAUUCCACGUGUAGCGGUGAAAUGCGUAGAGAUGUGGAGGAACACCAGUGGCGAAGGCGACUCUCUGGUCUGUAACUGACGCUGAGGAGCGAAAGCGUGGGGAGCGAACAGGAUUAGAUACCCUGGUAGUCCACGCCGUAAACGAUGAGUGCUAAGUGUUAGGGGGUUUCCGCCCCUUAGUGCUGCAGCUAACGCAUUAAGCACUCCGCCUGGGGAGUACGGUCGCAAGACUGAAACUCAAAGGAAUUGACGGGGGCCCGCACAAGCGGUGGAGCAUGUGGUUUAAUUCGAAGCAACGCGAAGAACCUUACCAGGUCUUGACAUCCUCUGACAACCCUAGAGAUAGGGCUUUCCCUUCGGGGACAGAGUGACAGGUGCUGCAUGGUUGUCGUCAGCUCGUGUCGUGAGAUGUUGGGUUAAGUCCCGCAACGAGCGCAACCCUUGAUCUUAUUUGCCAGCAU
rnacentral:rRNA from 1 species